AUACAUAGUGGGAGAAUCUGGACGUUCUCAGAGUUUAGCGACCCUCGGCCGUCAGAUCCGUUUCUUGAUGUGAUUCCGGCCGUCAGAUCGAGCCUCUAGAUGAUCUCGUUCGUUGGAUCGAAACGUGAGACUGUAGAUCGAAACAGUGUCGCAGCGACCGUGCCACCGCCUUUAAAUUGGGUGCCCGGGCGAGGGCAUUUUCAUCAUUUCACACAUAGUAGGCAUAUAAAACCGAAACAACACCGUGGUGACUGAAAACCUAGCGCUUCUUGCCCACCUGCCUAGCCGCCGCCCUAUCCCCGCACCCUCUCGUGCGCCCGUCCUCCUCUCCUCCCCGUUGCUCUUCCCCCGUUGAGAUCGCCGCCGGCGCUGCUCUCCUCGUCGAGGUCGCCCCUCGCCAUCACCGGAAGGAGACACCAUGAUGCGAGGAGCGGUUGGUCUGCCUCCGUACAGCCAUGAUGCGAGGAGCGCAGGAGGUGCGGGAUUGGAUCGACAAGGAGGUGCGGGAUUGGAUCGACAAGGAGGUGCGGGAUCGAGCCGAGGAGAUGCGCGAUCAAGCCGCUCGACGCGAGGGGAAUGGGGAUCCGCCGCCACAGGCGAUUCUGCCCAACGCCAUGGUUGUUCUUCCAGUGAAACUGCUCCGAAGCUGUGCCGCCGCCGGCACGGUCACCACAACCACUACCGCUCAAGGUCAGCCACUCUCUGCAUCCCACCCCUCCCGAUCUCUCUCCUCUCAUGACACAUGUAGAGCAAGCCCAAGGAGUCGUGGUUUAUGGGGUAAGUUGCAUCUGUUCCCAUCCUGCCUGCGCUCCAUUCCGUGACUAGAUUUAUUCUACUAAUAUUUUUGCUGAGAUUUGUGGACAAAGCUAAUAUGAUUCUGAUGAGAUGAAGUUUCAGUUUUUGACUGGAUGUUUGUGAGAAGACAUGAGAUGGUAGUUCUGGUGUCGUUGGUGGCUAGCUCGACCUUGUGUGUUAAUCAUAAAAUUAAUUAAUCCGCUGCCGGUGAGAAAUUUCUCGGGCAUCGUGUAAGUUAACAUAUUCUGUACAAGUAAAUGGUUAACAUAGUCUGUACCUGCCUCUUGGGUGAUUUUGUGAGUUGUGAUAGAUUGCUCUAGAUGAUGCAUCCUCUACAGAUUUCUAGGAUUCAAGGUCCCCUGACCCUGGCCAAGGACUAUGUUGGGUAGAAAUAUUUGUUGCUAAUUGAAUUGUAAUUUGUGCUGGGUGAAUGGUAACGGAAUACUGAAAACUGCGUCAGUUAUUUCCGAACGGAGGGAAUACUUAUGUUACAAGUAGAAUAUCACUGACUGCGUGAAGUUCAAAACUUUGUAGUCUUAUACAAAUAGAAAGAAUAUAUGGUCUGACCUCAUUUCUUAAUCCACAAACAUGGCUUGAAGUUUUGGGAUAAAUGGGACAAACAUAGGGUUGCAGAUUGUAAAUCCAAUUUUUUUCGCAAAUCAAUUUGACACUAAUCCUUAGAUAAAAGAUAUUUCUGUUGCAUAGGUUUCGUUGUAUAGGUUGUUGACUUGAUUGACAUCACUCCAGUUUUACGGUGUCACAAAAAUUAAUUUAAUUCUGUUAAUUGCAACUGCAACUCUUUCUCAUCAGACAUAAUGUUAACCUUAUAGAGCUAAAGUGGCUAUAGUUAGAAACCUCUACAAUAUCAUGGAUUGAUUUCGGGUUUCAAAAUAUUGUGAACUGUAAAACGUCUUAUAUUAUAGGACAGUGGUAGUAGUUAAAAUGAUUGUUUCAGAUUCUGCUAUGGAAGCAUUUUACCCCUUUUGCAGCUUUCGUUACACUAAAUUAGUACUGAAUGGUAAUAUUUCUUCUCUGAAUAUUCUACGUUACAGGAUUGGAACGAAAAUAAGAAACUACAGCGUCCCAUAACUGCAGCAAAGAAGGUACUGCGUGAGAUGGAACAGGGUCAUAUUCUGGAAGAAUAGAAUCCCUGCUGUCCCACGGAGUGAGUAAAGUUAAAGGAAAAAAAAGGAAAAAGGAAGUCUGGAGCUCUCUCGGCUGUACAACAAAGAGGGGUUACUUCACAUACUCAUCAGCGGUGAGGCUAAUAUCAUCUCUAAUCAAGUGAAAAAGUAAGGGCACAGCCUUAGUUUUCUGUUGGAAGACUUCUAUUUCUCCCAUUCCAGAGGUGCUAGCCUGUGCAAGCAGUGACAGUGUACUUUUUAUUGAUUUGAAUCUUCAAGCUUCAUUUUGAAAUUUUGGGCCACGAUCGCUUGAUCGCAAAAGUAACAGGUAUCAUUGUGAGGCCAGUUUCUGUUUUGCAUGUUGCCUUAUUUCUCUUCUAUCUGCAAUUUGCUUCCAUGUUCUAUAUGUUUGCGAGGAAAUUUCAAAUCAUUUUGUAUGCUGAUCAAUUGUUGCAUCUAGAAUACGUAUGUGAACCAUGUACCUUACGGAUUGGCCUCAUGAUUGUUGGUGUUUUUUUCCAUACGAAAACACCAAGGUUAUUAUCCUAACUAUCAUAGUUUGUACCAGCAGGAUUAUCAUAACAAUUAUGCAAUUUUUUUCCAGGUGAUUACAUAGUUAAAGGUAGUGAAUUUUUUAGUCCUAUGUGAUUUCUUAUCAACAGAGCUAUCAAAUUGUGCAUUACGUAAUUGGUCACAACGUUGUAACCGGCACCCUAGGGCCAAGGCGCGUUUCCGAUCUCAUUGGAUAGUUUUGUACUUUAGUCAGAAGCAUAAUUGUCAGAAGCAAGCAUAAUGGCCAUAUGAUGAAGCCGAUAAGUGUUUAGUAGAGACUCCAAUCAAUUCGAUCUCUCCAUGAUCUUUACCGCAUAUGAUAUUUUCCUUCUGGGUAUUUAACUUUGUCAAGUGCAUGCUAUGGUUCAGAGCAAAAUUCAGUUUCCAAUUAUAAUUCAGUGAUUUUCUUACCUUGUAUUUUAUUUUGCAUAAUUGUAGAAAUUGCAGUGGCCAUCUGUGGAUCUACUGUCCCUGGUUUGCUUUGUCGAGUGUCCCAGGCAAGAGGACCAAGUGUGGGCGGGUAGGUAUCGGCAAGGCGGGCUGUUAGCAUGGUGUUGGAGUUGGUCGGUAGUGGUGCACCUACGCCAUGUAUGGAUCAAUACUCUAGGAGGUUCCAUUGAGGCCCAGUCUAUCCAGGCACGAAACAGAGACAUUGGAAGCAGGACAAACGUCACUGAUAUUUUGUUGGUCAUUUUUGGCGUCGCAUCUCAAAUGGAAUGGCACUCAUGGAGGCAAUUGAACCAAGCUAUGGCAUCGUAGUUUUAUCUCUCUAUUGCCACUGUUGGCUUUUGCUCUCUUGUGUUCCUGCUCAUAUUACUGAACUUAAUGUUAGCUAAUUAGCUUUUGUAAUCAUAUGACCGUGCUGAAUUGGAUGUUGCCUUGCUUCCGGGACGGGUUAGCUUUUACAAUCUCAUGACCAUGUUAAACUCGAUGAUGUUACACUUCUGGUAUAGUGUGAAUGUUUCAUCUUACCAUUGAACUCGAUAA